CCUGAACGCUGGCGGCGUGGCUAAGACAUGCAAGUCGCACGGGGUAGCAAUACCCAGUGGCGAACGGGAGAGUAAUGAAUCGCUAAUGUACCCCGGACUCUGGGAGUAGCUGCCCGAAACGGGACGAGGUAAUACCAGAUAAUAUAACCUUGUCGCAUGACCGGGUUCUCAAAGGUCCGCCGGCAACGGUAGGAACGGUACUGGGAGCAGGCGAUUUCGUAUCAGCUAGUU
rnacentral:rRNA from 1 species